GCAGCCGCGGUAAUACGGGGGAUGCAAGCGUUAUCCGGAUUUAUUGGGUUUAAAGGGUGCGUAGGCGGCCUGUUAAGUCAGCGGUGAAAUUCAGGGGCUCAACCUCUGCCGUGCCGUUGAUACUGGCAAGCUAGAAUGCGGAUGCCGUGGGAGGAAUGUGUGGUGUAGCGGUGAAAUGCAUAGAUAUCACACAGAACACCGAUUGCGAAGGCAUCUCACGAAUCCGCAAUUGACGCUGAUGCACGAAAGCGUGGGGAUCAAACAGGAUUAGAUACCCC
rnacentral:rRNA from 1 species